rnacentral:SRP_RNA from 3 species
UUAGUGGGUACGGGUGACGUAACACCUCGAACCUGGUCAGGGCCGGGAGGCAGCAGCCAUAAGGGGUCCCUUACGGGCAUCCGUACCUACUAAGCG